UUGACAUUUCGCAAUAGCAAUGUCACUUCAGAAAUUUUGUUGUUUAUUAUUAUUGUUAUUAAGUUCUCUUUAAAAGUUAAACGUUUUCUGACAUUUUAGGACCUUCCUUUUACAACUAAAGUACCUUGUAAUGUCGGAACUCCAGAUGCGACUUUAUGAUUUAUAUUUUUACGAGGAUUUGUGCGGGACCCUCGGUGGGGAAAGUGUGAAUAAACGGAAUGCAUAAUGCACCUGUUCAAGUUUCCGUGGGGCCGUGUUGAAAAAAAGCUGAAUUAGAUCAAAAGUUAUUCGUUAAAUCGUCGAGGCUAUCGUCCCAAAACCCUAGUGACGUCACCUAAACUUCUGAAGGCUCUAACUGAAAAGCUGUAAUAGCUAGAAACUAGUUGUCUGGAUUAGUUCAAAAGUUAUCCGCUAAAUUGUCGAGGCUGUCGUUCCAAGAUCCUAGUGACGUCACCCAAACUUCUGAAGGCUCUAACUCAACAGCUGUAAUAGUUAGAAACUAGCUGUAUAAGACUUUUUUUAAAUAAAUUACAUGGACUAUUAA